CAUUCAGUAGCCCAGCUACUUGUUACACCCUUGUUUUUUUUGCGUACUUAUCGUUUCCUCGGCGGGCUUGCCUGCCGGUUGGACAACUUUAUAACCUUUUUAAAUCUUCAAUCAGCGUCUGAAUAAUAUACAAUAAUUA
rnacentral:misc_RNA from 1 species